ensembl:lncRNA
CCCUGGUCUAACAAGUAUAUAAAAAGCAUUUACUGAAAAUGUGUACAUUUUCCUGUUAAUCACUCAGAACGAAGGUUCGAAUGAACUGGUGAUCCAGGGUUGGAAUUCAGCUUAUAGGUAGUUUUGUUUGACUCAGUGCUUAAACAUUAAAAAAAUUAGUUUAAAACUGAGAGGGUUUGUGUAAAAAAGUCCAGAUUUCUGCCAGUUACAAGUUGUUUAAAAAAUGGGAAAAUCUGGCAACACUGCACUUCUCUACUGGGCAUUAAGUUAGUACACCCUUAAAAAGUGACUGAUUUCUCAGCUGCUUUCACAUGUAACAAGAGCUAGGAAAAAGAUGGCAAGAGCAGUGUUUCCUCCUCUUGCCCCUUCUCUCUGGUAGCUGAAUCUUGAGGGAUUAGGGAUUAUGACUUUCAAAGGAUUAAUAACAAUUUUAAAGACUAAAGGGAAAGGUAAUAUGCAAUAUUUAUCUCAGUGCUGCUUCUGCAUUAUCAAAUUACAUAUAUGUGUAAGAGUCACCUGGUAAAACCAAAAACAUGUUGAUACUUUAUGAUGAAAGUUAACCCUAAUUAUAAAGUUUAAAAAAAGGAAAUGAAAUUUGAAGGCUGGAGUCAUAAAACCCAACAAAAUGCAUUUAUCCCAGACAAUGUGCUCACCUAAAAAAAAGAAAAAAAAAUAGAACUCUUAACAGUUUCCUUGAAGUCUUCUAUUAUUCUAGCCUCAUAAGCUAGAGGCUUUGAUGUUAGUUAUUUUGUUAUUUAUUUAUAUUACUCUAUUUCUUAAGUGUCGCAAAGUUAGUGACCUAGCAGCAUUUGGUUAGUGUAUGUGGCCCAAACAUUCACUAAUGUUGUACACUGAUGUAAUGAAGUGUGUGAAAGUUGCUGAGUCGUGUCCAACUCUUUGUGACCCCAAGGACUACAUAGUCCAUGGAAUUCUCCAGGCCACAAUACUGGAGUGGGUAGCCUAUCCCUUCUCCAGGGGAUCUUCCUGACCCAGGAUUUGAACUGGGGUCCCUUGCAUUGCAGGUGGAUUCUUUACCAACUGAGCUAUCAAAGUCAAAGUGAAAGUCGCUCAGUCGUGUCCGACUCUUUGCGACCCCAUCGACCAUACAGUUCAUGAAAUUCUCCAGGCCAGAAUACUGGAGUGGAUAGCCUUUCCCUUCUCCAGCAGAUCUUCCCAACCCAGGGAUCAAACCCAGGUCUCACGGGUAGCAAGUAGAUUCUUUACCAGCUGAGCCACAAGGGAAGCCCUAACAACCUAACAACCUCACCCUCAUAGGACAUCCCUCUGUUUUUUUCUUCCUAUUUCUCAUUCCAAAAACAGAGGCAUUUCCAGGUAACAGCUAAAUUAUACUUUUAAAAUCUCUAUGGAUUAUACAUUUAACCAAUCAGGAUUAAAGGCAUAAAACAAAAUUCACUGUAAUUAUAAGUGUGAAGGGUUUAAUACAAACAUUUAAGUUUUUAUAAAACCAUCAGGGGACUUCCCUACUGGUUCAGAAGACUGUACUUCCAUUGCAGGGGGUGCAGGCUUAAUCCCUGGGAAGUUCUGCAUGCCCUGCAAUGUGGCCCAAACAAAAACAAACCCAGGGGAAAAAAAAAAAAAACAUUGGACAACCUGAAGGAGCACGAUCUAAGUUGGGCCUCCUGGAAUGCUCUCUGAAAAUACAGUAAGUAGUCCACUAGGAAGGAUACAGUAUCUAAGGCCAGGCUAGAACUUGUGAGACACCACCACCAGCAACAGCAACUAGACAACAGGAAGACAAGGGAAGCUGCACCUAGGAACCAGGGAGAUUAGAACAAGGAGCUGAGGAUCCUUAGGAACCUGGCAAAUGAAAACUGGAAUCUCAGGAAAACUGCAGCCUUCCUUAACCCCUGGUGACAACCAG